rnacentral:rRNA from 1 species
GACGAACGCUGGCGGCGUGCCUAAUACAUGCAAGUCGAACGCUUCUUUCCUCCCGAGUGCUUGCACUCAAUUGGAAAGAGGAGUGGCGGACGGGUGAGUAACACGUGGGUAACCUACCCAUCAGAGGGGGAUAACACUUGGAAACAGGUGCUAAUACCGCAUAACAGUUUAUGCCGCAUGGCAUAAGAGUGAAAGGCGCUUUCGGGUGUCGCUGAUGGAUGGACCCGCGGUGCAUUAGCUAGUUGGUGAGGUAACGGCUCACCAAGGCCACGAUGCAUAGCCGACCUGAGAGGGUGAUCGGCCACACUGGGACUGAGACACGGCCCAGACUCCGACGGGAGGCAGCAGUAGGGAAUCUUCGGCAAUGGACGAAAGUCUGACCGAGCAACGCCGCGUGAGUGAAGAAGGUUUUCGGAUCGUAAAACUCUGUUGUUAGAGAAGAACAAGGACGUUAGUAACUGAACGUCCCCUGACGGUAUCUAACCAGAAAGCCACGGCUAACUACGUG